rnacentral:rRNA from 1 species
CUACGUGCCAGCAGCCGCGGUAAUACGUAGGGCGCGAGCGUUGUCCGGAAUUAUUGGGCGUAAAGGGCUUGUAGGCGGUUGGUCGCGUCUGCCGUGAAAUUCUCUGGCUUAACUGGGGGCGUGCGGUGGGUACGGGCUGACUUGAGUGCGGUAGGGGAGACUGGAACUCCUGGUGUAGCGGUGGAAUGCGCAGAUAUCAGGAAGAACACCGGUGGCGAAGGCGGGUCUCUGGGCCGUUACUGACGCUGAGGAGCGAAAGCGUGGGGAGCGAACAGGAUUAGAUACCCUGGUAGUCCACGCUGUAAACGUUGGGCACUAGGUGUGGGGGCCACCCGUGGUUUCUGCGCCGUAGCUAACGCUUUAAGUGCCCCGCCUGGGGAGUACGGCCGCAAGGCUAAAACUCAAAGGAAUUGACGGGGGCCCGCACAAGCGGCGGAGCAUGCGGAUUAAUUCGAUGCAACGCGAAGAACCUUACCUACUCUUGACAUCCAGA